UACGUAGGGUGCGAGCGUUGUCCGGAUUUAUUGGGCGUAAAGGGCUCGUAGGCGGCGUGUCGCGUCGGGAGUGAAAGCCCGUUGCUUAACGGCGGGUUGGCUUUCGGUACGGGCAUGCUGGAGUGCGGCAGGGGAGACUGGAAUUCCUGGUGUAGCGGUGGAAUGCGCAGAUAUCAGGAGGAACACCGGUGGCGAAGGCGGGUCUCUGGGCCGUUACUGACGCUGGAGGAGCGAAAGCGUGGGGAGCGAACAGG
rnacentral:rRNA from 1 species